UACGUAGGGGGCAAGCGUUGUCCGGAAUCAUUGGGCGUAAAGAGCGCGUAGGCGGUCCGGUAAGUCCGCUGUGAAAGUCAAGGGCUCAACCCUUGAAUGCCGGUGGAUACUGUCGGGCUAGAGUCCGGAAGAGGCGAGUGGAAUUCCUGGUGUAGCGGCGAAAUGCGCAGAUAUCAGGAGGAACACCAAUGGCGAAGGCAGCUCGCUGGGACGGUACUGACGCUGAGGCGCGAAAGCGUGGGGAGCAAACAGG
rnacentral:rRNA from 1 species